UUACUUGUUGGUUCCGACGGAAGUUUUCACCUAAAACCCACCAUUGUAGCUUCCUUGAAACUUCUAUAGGCUUACUCCAUGUUAGGUAAGCAUUACCCCACCUAAGGUAAGCCUUCAGAAGCUUCACAACUUCAUUUUUAUGCAUCUUCAGAUAUUUAGGAUUUUUCUAAUGUGUUUUGCAUGAUCCCUUUAUGCUUUCCCAU
rnacentral:lncRNA from 1 species